rnacentral:rRNA from 1 species
GUCGGGAGUUAGGAAAUGUAGGCUCGCUAAUAUCGGGUCUAUUUGACAAAGGCUCCAAAGGAAGCCACGGCUAACUCUGUGCCAGCAGCCGCGGUAAUACAGAGGUGGCAAGCGUUGUUCGGAAUUAUUGGGCGUAAAGAGCACGUAGGUGGAUUUGUAAGUCAGAUGUGAAAGCCUUCUGUUCAACGGGAGAAUUGCAUCUGAAACUACAGACCUUGAGUAUAGGAGGGGAGAGUGGAACUUCUGGU